AUGUCCUGUUCAAACUUUCACCGGGGUUUAUGUGAACAUAUAAAUACUCUCAUUCGUAAAUUUUGGUGGGGAAGUAAUGAUGGUAAGAGGAAGCCAAGUUGGGUCUCAUGGAGUACGAUGACACGACCAAAGUACAAUGGAGGGCUAGGGUUCCGGGAUAUAGAGCUUUUUAACCUAGCUCUUCUGGCCAGGCAAGCAUGGCGUGUGCUACAAGAGCUGUAGUCUCUCAGCGCAAGAAUUUUAAAGGCAAAAUACCAUAGCACGAGUGAUUUCUUGCGGGCUGAAUUGGGUGCGGCCCCAUCCCAGAUAUGGAGGUCCAUCUUAGAAGGUCGGGACGUUCUCGUACAAGGCCUCAUUCGUCGCAUUGGAGACGGAGUAUCCACACGCAUAUGGCAGCACAACUGGCUUCCGAGACCUCAUAAUAUGAAGGCCGAUUGUGAGCAGGGUCUUGAAUCCACAGUCGCUAGUUAG
rnacentral:rRNA from 1 species